AAAAUGGAGAGUUUGAUCCUGGCUCAGGAUAAACGCUGGCGGUAUGCUUAACACAUGCAAGUCGAACGGUCUUUUCGGAGAUAGUGGCGGACGGGUGAGUAACGCGUAAGAAUCUACCUUCAGGUUGGGGACAACCACUGGAAACGGUGGCUAAUACC
rnacentral:rRNA from 1 species